rnacentral:lncRNA from 1 species
GGACAACUAGUGGAUUGGACAAACUUGUUAAUUAGCAGAUUCUUAUAUCAAGCCAAGCGAGCUAAAUGUGCCAUUGUCUUAGGAGGUUUUGUAACAAGAAUUGCUGAGAGGUUGGGUGUAUUUAAUCGCAAUACCACCAAUUUACCGGUGGUAGAAGGAUGGCCCACUACUAUCAAUGUCGAUUACUUGAUUGGUAUGCACUUAUUGCGUCGACAUAAACUCUUAGGGCUGCGUAAAGUGGAUCACAAGCGUAGUUCAAUACCGAUGGAAGAUCAUGCUAUAGAGC